UUGUGAGGUUAAGCGACUAAGCGUACACGGUGGAUGCCCUGGCAGUCAGAGGCGAUGAAGGACGUGCUAAUCUGCGAUAAGCGUCGGUGAGGUGAUAUGAACCGUUAUAACCGGCGAUUUCCGAAUGGGGAAACCCAGUGUGUUUCGACACACUAUCAUUAACUGAAUCCAUAGGUUAAUGAGGCGAACCGGGGGAACUGAAACAUCUAAGUACCCCGAGGAAAAGAAAUCAACCGAGAUUCCCCCAGUAGCGGCGAGCGAACGGGGAGGAGCCCAGAGCCUGAAUCAGUGUGUGUGUUAGUGGAAGCGUCUGGAAAGGCGUGCGAUACAGGGUGACAGCCCCGUACACAAAAAUGCACAUAUUGUGAGCUCGAUGAGUAGGGCGGGACACGUGGUAUCCUGUCUGAAUAUGGGGGGACCAUCCUCCAAGGCUAAAUACUCCUGACUGACCGAUAGUGAACCAGUACCGUGAGGGAAAGGCGAAAAGAACCCCGGCGAGGGGAGUGAAAAAGAACCUGAAACCGUGUACGUACAAGCAGUGGGAGCCUCUUAAUGGGGUGACUGCGUACCUUUUGUAUAAUGGGUCAGCGACUUAUAUUCUGUAGCAAGGUUAACCGAAUAGGGGAGCCGAAGGGAAACCGAGUCUUAACUGGGCGUUAAGUUGCAGGGUAUAGACCCGAAACCCGGUGAUCUAGCCAUGGGCAGGUUGAAGGUUGGGUAACACUAACUGGAGGACCGAACCGACUAAUGUUGAAAAAUUAGCGGAUGACUUGUGGCUGGGGGUGAAAGGCCAAUCAAACCGGGAGAUAGCUGGUUCUCCCCGAAAGCUAUUUAGGUAGCGCCUCGUGAAUUCAUCUCCGGGGGUAGAGCACUGUUUCGGCAAGGGGGUCAUCCCGACUUACCAACCCGAUGCAAACUGCGAAUACCGGAGAAUGUUAUCACGGGAGACACACGGCGGGUGCUAACGUCCGUCGUGAAGAGGGAAACAACCCAGACCGCCAGCUAAGGUCCCAAAGUCAUGGUUAAGUGGGAAACGAUGUGGGAAGGCCCAGACAGCCAGGAUGUUGGCUUAGAAGCAGCCAUCAUUUAAAGAAAGCGUAAUAGCUCACUGGUCGAGUCGGCCUGCGCGGAAGAUGUAACGGGGCUAAACCAUGCACCGAAGCUGCGGCAGCGACACUAUGUGUUGUUGGGUAGGGGAGCGUUCUGUAAGCCUGUGAAGGUGGCCUGUGAGGGUUGCUGGAGGUAUCAGAAGUGCGAAUGCUGACAUAAGUAACGAUAAAGCGGGUGAAAAGCCCGCUCGCCGGAAGACCAAGGGUUCCUGUCCAACGUUAAUCGGGGCAGGGUGAGUCGACCCCUAAGGCGAGGCCGAAAGGCGUAGUCGAUGGGAAACAGGUUAAUAUUCCUGUACUUGGUGUUACUGCGAAGGGGGGACGGAGAAGGCUAUGUUGGCCGGGCGACGGUUGUCCCGGUUUAAGCGUGUAGGCUGGUUUUCCAGGCAAAUCCGGAAAACCAAGGCUGAGGCGUGAUGACGAGGCACUACGGUGCUGAAGCGACAAAUGCCCUGCUUCCAGGAAAAGCCUCUAAGCAUCAGGUAACAUCAAAUCGUACCCCAAACCGACACAGGUGGUCAGGUAGAGAAUACCAAGGCGCUUGAGAGAACUCGGGUGAAGGAACUAGGCAAAAUGGUGCCGUAACUUCGGGAGAAGGCACGCUGAUAUGUAGGUGAAGCGACUUGCUCGUGGAGCUGAAAUCAGUCGAAGAUACCAGCUGGCUGCAACUGUUUAUUAAAAACACAGCACUGUGCAAACACGA
rnacentral:rRNA from 1 species